UAUCAAUAAGCGGAGGAAAAGAAACUAACAAGGAUUCCCCUAGUAACUGCGAGUGAAGCGGGAAAAGCUCAAAUUUAAAAUCUGGCGGUCUUCGGCCGUCCGAGUUGUAGUCUGGAGAAGUGCUUUCCGCGCUGGACCGUGUAUAAGUCUCUUGGAACAGAGCGUCAUAGAGGGUGAGAAUCCCGUCUUUGACACGGACUACCAGUGCUUUGUGAUGCGCUCUCAAAGAGUCGAGUUGUUUGGGAAUGCAGCUCAAAAUGGGUGGUGAAUUCCAUCUAAAGCUAAAUAUUGGCGAGAGACCGAUAGCGAACAAGUACCGUGAGGGAAAGAUGAAAAGCACUUUGGAAAGAGAGUUAAACAGUACGUGAAAUUGCUGAAAGGGAAACGCUUGAAGUCAGUCGCGUCGUCCGGAACUCAGCCUUGCUUUCGCUUGGUGCACUUUCCGGAUGACGGGUCAGCAUCGAUUUUGACCGUCGGAAAAGGGCUGGAGUAAUGUGGCACCUCCGGGUGUGUUAUAGACUCUAGUCGCAUACGGCGGUUGGGAUCGAGGAACGCAGCGCGCCGCAAGGCAGGGGUUCGCCCACUUUCGCGCUUAGGAUGCUGGCAUAAUGGCUUUAAACGACCCGUCUUGAAACACGGACCAAGGAGUCUAACAUACCUGCGAGUGUUUGGGUGGAAAACCCGAGCGCGUAAUGAAAGUGAAAGUUGAGACCUCUGUCGUGGAGGGCAUCGACGCCCGGACCUGACGUUCUCUGAAGGAUCCGCGGUAGAGCAUGUAUGUUGGGACCCGAAAGAUGGUGAACUAUGCCUGAAUAGGGUGAAGCCAGAGGAAACUCUGGUGGAGGCUCGUAGCGAUUCUGACGUGCAAAUCGAUCGUCAAAUUUGGGUAUAGGGGCGAAAGACUAAUCGA
rnacentral:rRNA from 1 species